UAGGGUAAAAACUAACAAAGACAUGCUUUCAGGCAAUGUGUCAGGCAACCUCGCAGAAUGAUCCACUGCUCUUAUUGUGAAUCUUGUUCACCUUACAUCAACAGCUUCAGUUGGGGUUUUCUACAUUGAGGUUGGACUGUAAAUAUCAAAUGACCUUCAAAAGUUUUACGUGCUAGAAUGUUCGGGCUGCAAACAAAAAAAAUGCACAUAAGACAAGAAGCACUUUGAUUGCGCAAAAUGUCAAAGAAAGACAUCAUUAGUGCCUCAGUGUACCUUCUAAAUUGAUCAGAUUGAUGGCAGUGGUUCAACAACUGCCUUCAUUUUUGGUGAUCUUGUUGAAGAACUUCUCUCCAUGAAGGCAGAAGACAUAUUUGACACAAUCGGCGUCAAUAAUCAACUUCUUCGUGUUGAUCAGACCCAACAAAUGUUGUCAAAGAGACUAUUUCACAUUCAACUAAGGAAGUCAUCCUGGACAACCUCUAAUGUUACUCAGUCAAAUCUAACAAUUCUGUCCUACACGUAAAAAGAACGUGUAUCUCUACCAAGCACUAGC